rnacentral:rRNA from 1 species
UACGGGGGGGGCAAGCGUUGUUCGGAAUUACUGGGCGUAAAGGGCUCGUAGGCGGCCAACUAAGUCAGACGUGAAAUCCCUCGGCUUAACCGGGGAACUGCAUCUGAUACUGGAUGGCUUGAAUCCGGGAGAGGGAUGCGGAAUUCCAGGUGUAGCGGUGAAAUGCGUAGAUAUCUGGAGGAACACCGGUGGCGAAGGCGGCAUCCUGGACCGGUAUUGACGCUGAGGCGCGAAAGCCAGGGGAGCAAACGGG